rnacentral:rRNA from 1 species
CCUACGGGAGACAGCAGUAGGGAAUAUUUCUCAAUGGGGGAAACCCUGAAGCAGCAACGCCGCGUGGAGGAUGAAGGUUUUCGGAUUGUAAACUGCUUUUGUUAGAGAAGAUAAUGACGGUAUCUAAUGAAUAAGCACCGGCUAACUCCGUGCCAACAGCCGCGGUAAUACGUAGGGUGCAAGCGUUACCCGGAAUCACUGGGCGUAAAGAGUGCGUAGGCGGGAUAGCAAGUCAGAUGUGAAAUUCUAGGGCUUAACCAUCGAACUGCAUUUGAAACUGUUAUUCUAGAGUAUGGGAGAGGUAGGUGGAAUUCUUGGUGUAGGGGUAAAAUCCGUAGAGAUCAAGAGGAAUACUCAUUGCGAAGGCGACCUACUAGAACAUAACUGACGCUGAUGCGCGAAAGCGUGGGGAGCAAACAGGAUUAGAUACCCGAGUAGUC